rnacentral:rRNA from 1 species
UACGGAGGGUGCAAGCGUUAUCCGGAUUCACUGGGUUUAAAGGGUGCGUAGGCGGGCGUGUAAGUCAGCGGUGAAAUCCCCGAGCUUAACUUGGGAACUGCCGUUGAUACUAUAUAUCUUGAAUGUCGUGGAGGUUAGCGGAAUAUGUCAUGUAGCGGUGAAAUGCUUAGAUAUGACAUAGAACACCCAUUGCGAAGGCAGCUAACUACGCGAAUAUUGACGCUGAGGCACGAAAGCGUGGGGAUCAAACAGG